rnacentral:rRNA from 1 species
CUCCUUUGACGUUAGCGGCGGACGGGUGAGUAACACGUGGGUAACCUACCUAUAAGACUGGGAUAACUUCGGGAAACCGGAGCUAAUACCGGAUAAUAUUUCGAACCGCAUGGUUCGAUAGUGAAAGGUGGUUUUGCUAUCACUUAUAGAUGGACCCGCGCCGUAUUAGCUAGUUGGUAAGGUAACGGCUUACCAAGGCGACGAUACGUAGCCGACCUGAGAGGGGGAUCGGCCACACUGGAACUGAGACACGGUCCAGACUCCUACGGGAGGCAGCAGCC